CCCACGCAACCUAUUGACCAAAUGCACUGCUUGUAAUAUCUUUCUCUCUCCUUUUUCUAUUCUUUAUUCUUCUCUCUUCCCCCCUCAUGCCCAAUAUGAUGUUUGUGUUUGUGUGUUGCCGUAGAUGUGGAUGGAUCUAGAAGCUGAAGAGAGGCCAACUAGGAGGGUGUUCCGUCAAUGAUGAAGUUCUAUGUUCCAGUUUCUGCUGCCUCUUCAACUGAGCUCUCGACGUUCGUCUUCUUUUUGUUCGUCUCUUUAUAAAUCCAACCCAAAGAAAACCUGUAUAUAAUUCCCAAACCAUUCAUCGCCAAUGUCCCUCUCUAUAUCCCCCCCCUAUCUUAUAUUUCUCUCUUAAAUGUUGAUGUACUCUACUUAUUUAUUUUUUAUUUUUUCCUUUUGAUUUACGUUCUGUGUGUAUCACCCCAUUAUUGGUUACAACCUCGUGAAAUGCGAACGUCGUAGGGGGGGGAACUUGACGUGUAUUUCAUUUCCAAUACGUUUCAAACCACAUUGUAACGAUGUGUAUUGGACCAGCUUCGGAACGCUUCUCGCCAAUGUUCUUCAUUCAUUUGCAUUUCUUUGUUGUUUGGAAUUCUAUAUCCGUCCUGUUUUCUUUCGCAGCCUUUCUUAUUUUCUUUUCACUGGUGUCUUCUCCCCUUUUCUUUUGAGGAAAUAACCAAAAAGAGAAGGAGGCCGGAUCUAGGUCGAUACAUGGUUAUAUACUAUACCCUACCCUCUAUACUAUAUUCCGCUGUGGCAUCCUAUACAACGCCGUCUAGCGUUUCCUGUCCGUCCACACAGUUACGACGCUCUUUUUUAAUUCUUCUUCUUCUUCUUCUUCGCCAUCGACGUAUAUCUAUAUGCACAUAUCGUACAAAUGCUUAACUGGUUGCCUUCUCUUCUGCUGUAUCCGUCGAUGGAUAGAAACGAGCGCACCGCUCCAAACACA